UCUUUAUGUGAUGAUUUUGCAUCUUUUUGUGGUGAUUUUGCAUCUUUAUGUGGUGAUUUUAAUCUUUAUGUGAUGAUUUUGCAUCUUUUUGUGGUGAUUUUACAUCUUUGUGUGGUGAUUUUGUAGCUGUUAGUAGUAAUUUUUGUUUUCAGAAAAAAGCAAAUUAGUGUUUAGAUUAGAGUGACACCUGAAAUGGAUUUAAAACUGAACUCAUUCCAGUUUUCAACAGAACUCAUGUUUCUCACCUGUUCUAAUCAGCUGAUCCUCGCCAUCCAAUCAGCUCCCAUCAUACUAACACCUAGCAUUAGCGUUAGCAUUGAGCUUCCUGUUGGCUUUGUUUGUUCAAAGUCCUUUUUACAGAAUAAAGACAACUGUGGUGAAGAAAAUCAAUUAGAGCUUCAUGAGUACAAAGAAAAAAACCACUAAUAAACCAUGAAAACCAGCCAACGAGCUCAUUUAAGGUUACACAGGACAGAUAUUCUGUUAUUUUUCUCUCUCUGAGGCAAAACAAACCCCAAACACUCUAAUUAUAAGAGCAGCAGCUUCUUAAUUGUCAGAUUAAAUCCCUGCUAACUGCUAAUAAUAUUAAUAUCACGCCAGGUAUGAGCAAACUAGAGGAGCAGAAAUAAAACCUGGACCAGUCUGGAGCAGGGAGGAGUCGGAUUAAUGCUCUGUUAACGUCAGUUUGAGGAUAAUUAAUAAAAACACGCCUGUAAAUGUUCUUUUCUGAGCUCGGUUUAGAUGCUGGUCUGCUCUUUCUUUACGUUUCUUUCUUGUACUGUGUUUUUUUGUGGUGAUUUUGUGUCUUUUUGUGGUGAUUUUACAUCUUUAUGUGGUGAUUUUGUGUCAUUUUGUGAUGAUUUUACACAAUUUUGUGGAGAUGUCUUUAUGUGGUGAUUUUGUGUCAUUUUGUGGUGAUUUUGCAUCUUUUUGUAGUGAUUUUAAUCUUUUAAAUCUUUUUGUUUUGUCAUUCUGAUCCAUUUUUGAGUCAUUUUGAGCAAAGUUUGAUUCAUUUUGGACAAUUUUCAGCCAUUCUGGAAACAUUUCAGGUUAUAUUUGAUACAGACAAAGUAAUUGUCAGCUGUUUAAAUGAUUAAAUGGCUUCAGCAAAGGACACAUUUCUACUUAUUGCCCAUUAAACACCAAAGAGAUGUGCAAAAUGUUCAAACCUUGGUGGUAUUGUGUCCCCAUAAAGUUCCUGUAUUUUAGUUUAUAUUUUGUGCUCCAACUGGUUAUGAAAGUUGAGCAGAAAAUGCUUUUUAUUUAUAAUUUUGAGACCAGGUAUUUGAUAUGAUACAGUUUAUUUUUGUAUUAUUGUGACCUGCAGCUACAUGUGGUUCAGUAAAUAUCACCAAUUGACUUUUGGUGAUCAUAUUUUAUGUUAAGCAUAUUUCUACAAGUUAAGCAUUAACUUCAUUACUCAUGUUUCUAGAUUCUCUGGGAAUCUACCAUUAACUAAGUGUUCUUCCUGUCAGACAGGUGAGCUGUCGGAGCUUCAGGUGGCUCCAUAAUGAGCUCCAUUACAGCUGCUGUUACUCUGCUGUAAAGGCUGACGUGUUUACUGAAGUUAAACUAUUUUUCUGUCUCGUCAGGUUGUUUAUGAGGCGGCUUUUUGUGUUUCUCAGCAGGAGCUCCACGCCACUGACAUUAAGAUGUUUUACAAUCAAAAUACGGAGUGGAGUAAGAAUGAAAACAGGUUUUAUUGAAGCAGUUUGAUAAAUUACCCUCACAAUGGACAGGAUUGUUCUCCUGAGCUGGUUUGAAUGAAGCUGUUUUAGUCUAAUAUUAGUGAGAUUAACUGGUAAAUAAGACGUUUAAAGUCUGCCAUUUCUUUCAUGUUGACCCAGUUUUCAACAAGCCUCUGAACUGCAGCUCCUGACUGUCAUUUACGGCUUCAGGUUUUUGUGUUGCACCCCAAGAUUUUCAGUUUGGAGGCAGCACUGUUGGCUCAGUGAUGUUUUUAUGACUUUCGUGGGUGUUUGGGUUUAUUGUCCUGGACAGAUAUGAAAUCAACAACGCCAGCCCCAUCUCUGGAACACCGCAAAACCCGUAAAAAGACACCAAAUCACCACAAAAAGAUGAAAAAUCACCACAAAAAGAUGUGAAAUCCCCACAGAGAAACACAAAAUCACCAAGAAAAGAUGCAAAAUCAUCACAAAAAGAUGUAAAAUCACCACAGUAAGAUACAAAAUCACCAAGAAAAGAUGCAAAAUCCCCACAAAAAGACACAAAAUCCCCACAAUAAGAUGUAAAAUCACCAUAAAAGAUGUAAAAUCACCACAAAAAGAUGUUAUGACUUCUAGCUUUUGUGUUGCACCCCAAGAUUUUCAGUUUGGAGGCAGCACUGCUGACUCAAUGUUUUUAUGACUUUAGUUGGUGUUUGGGUUUAUUGUCCUGCUGCAGAAUUAAUUUAGUGCCAAUCUGAUGCCACAAUUUAGUCUAAAUGUCUAAAAACUGGAACCUUGUCUGGUCAAACUUUAACACAUGAUGUUAGAGCCUCGGGCUGCACAGUGGUGUAGUGGUUAGCACUUUCGCCUUGCAGCUAGAAGGUCCCUGGUUCGCGUCCCGGCUUUCCCGGGAUCUUUCUGCAUGGAGUUUGCAUGUUCUCCCUGUGCAUGCGUGGGUUUUCUCCGGGUACUCCGGCUUCCUCCCACAGUCCAAAUAUAUGCUGAGGUUAAUUGAUUAUUCUAAAUUGCCCGUAGGUGUGAAUGUGAGAGUGAUUGUUUGUCUCUGUAUGUAGCCCUGUGACAGACUGGUGACCUGUCUAGGGUGUCCCCUGCCUUCACCUGAGUCAGCUGGGAUAGACUCCAGCCUCCCCCAUGACCCUAGUGAGGAUUAAGCGGUGUAUAGAUAAUGGAUGGAUGUUAGAGCCUCAACAGUUUGAGAAAUGUGGACCAAAGCCUCUAUUUUUAACAGGAAAUAUGGAUCCAUCUAUGUAUAUAUACACUCUGAGGAACUUUAUGGGGAAGAUACUAAUUUCAUUAGACAAUUCUGCAUGUUUUUUUUGUGUGUGUGUGUGUGGUCUAGUGUUUCCAUACAGUUCCUGUCAGUGUCUAUCAAUGGAUGGAUCCAUGUUUCUGCUAAAAUCCAGUCUUUGGUUGACAUUUACCAACUGUUUAGGCUCUAACAUCAGUAGAAUCUGAUGGGUUAAAGUUUUUAGAUAUUCUGAGGAAGUGGUGGCAUCAGAUUGGUUCAGAGUUCCUUCUGCAGCAGAACAUCAGCCAGACUCAUGGAGAACGUUGUGGAGUCAGCUGGUUGUGUGUUGGUUGUGUGGUUGUUGGUCUGGGGAUGCUGUGCCCUGGGCAUCGCCUGCAGGCCUGAAGAGGAAGGAAGACACAACCAGCCUCCACUGAUUACACAAAACACACACUUCAGCCUCACACUGCUUCAUGUUGUGUAGAACAACGACAGACCAACACGCAUGUAGCUGGACUCUGUGGACACACACUGACCUACUGGACUCUAAUCUACCAACAGACAAUCUACCAACAGACAAGCCACUUCUAGUUUGCUUUUCUAGCCGACAACAUGUUAAAAACUAUCCUGGUGUUGCUUUACCGUCUUAAACUUUUGUUCAGAGUUUGUUUAUUUGGAAUCCAAAACUAAGUUGUGCAAAAAAUAUUUUGACUGAAUUUGGAGAAUUUCAGAUGUUUUCACACCUGGGAAACUUUUAGCAUUUUCUCCUGCAGCCAUUUUCAGGGUUCAGUAUGUCAACAAAUAAAACUCCAACGGCCAUGAAAUGUGGCGAGGACUCACAAAAAGUAGUUUCCAGCUGACUCAAAUGAUCUUAUUGAUCCAGGAGAGGUUAAAGUUUUAACUGCUGGCCCUUCAAAAUGGAAGAAAAGUGCAAAAUUUACAAACCAGAGGGGUGUUAUGUCCCCAUAAAGUUCCUGUCAGUGUAUAUCUAUGGAUGGAUCCAUGUUUCUACUAAAAUCCAGUCUUUGGUCCACAUUUCUCCAACUGUUGAGGUUCUAACAUCAGUAGAAUCUGAUGGGUUAAAGUUUGACCAGACAAGGUUCCAAUUUUUAGAUAUUUGGACUUGAAAUCAGUUGAAAGUGACUCAUAAUUGCCCAAAAUGACUUCCAAUUGUCAUAAAUGACUUGAAGCUUGUCUAAAAUGGCUUGUCUUUAAAGUGACUCAAAAUUCUACAAAAAUUCUUCCAAAUUAGUCCAAAAUUGAUGCAAAAAUUUCCUACAUCAUUCCAAAUGUUACUUGAAAUUGGUAAAAACAAUACAAAAUUGUUCAAAAUGACUCAAAAUAAGUCCAGAAUUACUCAAGACUUAUUUAAAAUGACUCAAAAUGUGGUAUUGUGUCCCCAUAACAUAAAGUUCCUGUAAGUGUUUAUAUCUAUGGAUGGAUCCAUCAAGCAAGACUGGCUCAUGUCUUGUCCUGGACAGACUUAGUUUUGUGGUUCUACUGCCUCUUAUUUACCACAUUUUAUAUUAUAUUGAUGAAGAGUGAUUAAAUAUGAUGCUCAUAUUGCAUCAUAACUGCACAAUAUUCUCCUCUGUGCAGUUUUUAGAAUAAAAACGUGAUUUAAUUCCUAUUCUAGAUUGGAGGGUCGAGCAGCAAGAAGGUCAGAUCAGCUAAAUAUCCACAGCUGUAUGGAAGUAGAGGGGAUCAGGAGUUAAUACCCAGACUUAGACCUCCAGGAUCUCCAGUAAAGUCAAAGUAAAAGCCUCUGGUUGGGAUUAAAAUGCACAAAACCAAGCCGUAGUUUCCAAACUAAAACCAAAGUUUACGGUGAAAUCGUACGUUAUCUGUCUCCAGAGUGGAAGAUGGUUGGAUGGAUCCUUCAACUAAUGGAUAAAGUCAGAAUAUUCACCGGAACAUAAGGUUUAGUUGAAGAAAUGAGGAAACCAUCAGCCGGUUCCACAGCUCCUUCAUCUGGUAAAGCCUUUCUAGAAACCGACUACAUCCCAGCAGACCUUCUGUCUCCACCUCCUCAGGGAUUCGAGAUGUUCCGGUCCAGAUGGAGAAUCCCUCCGGCGAGUUCUGGGUCUGUGAGGAGCCACAUCCCAGGUGGACGAGUCCAGAAGAUCGUCCUCAGGGAGGAGUCUGGAUCAGAUAGUCCCAACCUGGACUCACGAGGAACGUCUGCUGUUUAAAAAGCAGUCUGGCGGCGCCGCAGACCGAGGCAUCCUUGAAAACUCAGCAUCCAAAUUCAGGCUUCUUUUUGUUCUUCAAGAGGCCGGAGGGAGAGGAAGGUUUGUUCUCUCUGCGUGACAAAAACCAAACAUCCACGGGAGACGAAGAAGUCUGAAAAACAACAAGAGAAGAUUCCUUGUACUGCUCACGUCCUGUCAGGUAGCUGGGUAUCAGUGGAAGAUUCUGAUGGAUAAAACGAGACAAAAAAAACGACAAAAACGAGACACAAAACCACAAAAACAAGACACAAAACGACAAAAACGAGACAUGAAAUGACAACAGACACAAAACGACAAGAACAAGACAAAAAAAUGACAAAAACAAGACAAAAAACGACAAAAACGAGACAUAAAAUGACAAAAUUAAGACAAAAAAACGACAAAAACAAGGCACAAAAUGACAAAAACGAGACACAAAACAACAACAGAGACACAAAAUGACAAAAACGAGACACAAAACGAUAAAAACGGGACACAAAACGACAAAAACGAGACAUGAAAUGACAACAGACACAAAACGACAAGAACAAGACAAAAAAUGACAAAAACAAGACAAAAAAACGACAAAAACAAGACACAAAACAACAAAAGCGAGACACAAAACGACAACAGAGACACAAAACGGCAAAAACGAGACACAAAACGAUAAAAACGGGACACAAAACGACAAAAACAAGACACAAAACGACAAAAACGAGACAAAAAAUGAACAAGUGUGUGAACAAGUGAACACAGGAUAUUAUAAAGUUUUUUUUUUACAGUGUAUUUAGUGAACACGGGAUAAUUUAUUGUUUUUUUUAUUGUGUGUUUAUUGAACACAGGCUUUUCUAAAUGGAAAUAUGCUGUUGCUUUUGUAAUCACACAUAACAUCAGUCCUCUUCCUAUUGUGGUGGUGCUAAGCUAACAUGCGACGGGGCAUAAUUACACAUUCCGCUAUGCUAAUAAAGGAGCUGAUUUAGCUGAGAGGCUCAGUGUGUACCGUUUAAAGCCCGGUUUCCCCACUUUGAAUAUUCAUCACGGUGGCACUCGGCUGAAGAUGAAACGGCCUCAUUGUUCGUCAGCGCGCCGCUCGCUCAUGUUAUGCACAUAUUAACGACGAGGACAAUUCACUCUGAGUGAUUCCUAAUCUGUUGACAAGGAGUCUCUGCAGGCCCUUCAGUCGCUCUGAUGCAGAUGAUGACAAUGUUUUAUCUGCAAAUCCCCUGAGAGGAGAGCCGCCAGUCGUUUACUCCCGUUUUACGUUCUCCACAAUCAUUUUCUUCAUUAAAGCUUCAGCCGAUAGAAUCCGUUUGUUCAGCUGUUUAUGCAACAGAUCCACCGGCUACGUCGGACUGAAGUGUUUGUGUGUCGACCGCUUCUGCAAAACGCUGUUAAAAAUCUGAUGUUUUUAUGAGUCAGGAACAAGAAUGACUGUCAGCAGUCUGCUGGAAAAACACAAAUGGUAGCGUGUUAAAACCAUCAUACGUUCUGCACACGCUAACGAGGUCAGGAUAAAAGCAGACUGGACUCUACAAUCACUGCAGGGAAGAAUAAAUAAAUUCCUUCUCCUGCAGAAACUCGUUGACCCAUUUUCCUUAAAUGUCACCUCCCAGUAAAAGCGGCGGCAUGUGGCAUCAAGGAGGACACGUAUGUUAGAGAACGGAGCGACACGUAUGUUAGAGAACGGAGCGACACGUAUGUUAGAGAACGGAGCGACACGUAUGUUAGAGAACGGAGCGUGUGGCAUCGAGGAGGACACGUAUGUUAGAGAACGGAGCGACACGUAUGUUAGAGAACGGAGCGACACGUAUGUUAGAGAACGGAUUUAUUUCAGUUUUAUUUCUGAUUUAUUUCUAAUUUAUUUCAAUUUUAUUUCUGUUAUAUUUCAGUUUUAUCUCCAAUUUCUUUCUGAUUUAUUUCUGAUUCAUUUCAGUUUUAUUUCUGAUUUAUUUCAGUUUUAUUUCUGUUGUAUUUCAGUUUUAUUUUAGAUUUAUUUCAGUUUUAUUUCAGUUUUAUUUCAGUUUUAUUUCUGAUUCAUUUCAGUUUUAUUUCUGAUUUAUUUCUGUUUUAGUUUUGAUUUAUUUCUGAUUCAUUUCUGUUUUAAUUCUGAUUUAUUUCUGUUUUAAUUCAGAUUUAAUUCAGUUUUAUUCCAGAUUUAUUUCUGUUUUACUUCCAUUUUAUUUCUGAUUUAUUUCAGUUUUAUUUCAGUUUCAUUUCCAUUUUAUUUCUGUUUUAUUUCUGAUUUAUUUCUGUUGUAUUUCUGUGUUUCAAACGGACAUUAUGUGAGUUAACUGAAGCCUCUGUGUGAAGACUCAGGCUGAGAUAUUUUAAUAAAUCUCCUUCUUCCAGUCUCA